rnacentral:rRNA from 1 species
AAAGCAGGCAGACCAUUUCUUCUGCCACCGAAUACAUUAGCAUGGGAUAAUGGAAUAGGACCCUGUCCUCCUAUUUUGCGUGUUGGUUUUCGAGGACCGGGUAAUGAUUAAUAGGGAUAGUUGGGGGCAUUAAUAUUUAAUUGUCAGAGGUGAAAUUCUUGGAUUUAUGAAAGAUUGACUUCUGCGAAAGCAUCUGCCAAGGAUGUUUUCAUUAAUCAAGAACGAAAGUUAGGGGAUCGAAGACGAUCAGAUACCGUCGUAGUCUUAACCAUAAACGAUGCCGACCAGCGAUUAGGAGACGUUGAAUACAAAACACCACCGUCGGGUCGGCCGUCCUUGGCCGUCGUGCGCGGCGACGCGCGCGGCGGCGAGGGCGGUGUCUGCCCGACGGCCCGGUGAAUGACUCCCCUAGCAGCUUGUGAGAA